GGGGCGCUGCCGUGCCUUGCGAGGAGUGCGAACUCGGGUUCCAGAGGUUAAGGUUACCCAUGGGGCCAAGGUGGAGUUCGGCCAAGGGAGGAGUCGCCGGGGGGGAGUGAGGUGGUGAUUACAGAGAACUCAUGCCCAGGCUUAGAGAAGGUGUGAGAUUGGGAUCACCGGGAGGGAGUCCGCUGGGGGAUAAGCAAGGAGCUCCCAGUAAGGAAGGGGCCUCUGGGAGUCUGCAGUGGGUCCCUCCGGGGAGAGGGUGCGGCCCCGCGGAGGCUGCAAGGGUCUAGAAUGGUGGGUGGGAAGUGGGGGUGAGGGAAGAAUGUGGAGAAGGUCUCUUCCCCUGAUCCUGGAAUAAGUAAACUGGUCCGAGGAAAGGCUGAAGAGGGAAAGCUGACCACAGGCCGGAGCAGCCAGGGUUGCUGUGUGAAUGUCCCAGGGGCCCGGCCAGGGCUGGCCCAGCACAGAGAGCCCCUCUCCCCAGCAUCCCUCCUCCCGGCCCACCUGCCCCAGCCUGACGGGACCAGGCGAGGCCCUUCGUUCUUUGCUUUCCCAGCCCUGGGUGCUCCACUCCUCCUCACUCACCCCUCAGACAUGGUGCCCACUUCUCACACCGCCCUUGGUGAGCUGCUCAUGCCAUCCACGCAACCUGUGGCUCCACCUUGACUCCACCCCACCCCGAAGGCCGGAACAGCCCGGUUUUAAGAGUUCUGUCCCAUUGUCCCAGUGUUCUAAGGCUGUGAGGGGAGGGGACAGCAGGUGCAGGGCUGGGGACGCUUAGGAUGUUCUCGUCGCAAGCCUUGGAAGGCUAGAGCAGAGCGUGGGGUCAGCUGUGGCUCCUUGUGAGACGCAAAUAAAAGGGUGGUCACGAUUUGAAGUCACCCCGCGAGCUGUAGGCUCUGGCAUUCAUUUUUCCAGCUGCACUUCUCAGCUGGAGGAAGCCUGUAUUCCUGAACUCAGAGCCAGUGGUCCGUGUGAACUAUGCCAGUGGAAAGAUCGACAUUAGAAGGAGUAGGGCCGGCCGCUGAGGCCUCAGAGGUGAUGAAGCCACACCAGUAAGAAGGGGCACUGGUGUCCCUGGUGAACAAGGGCUGCGGAUACUUGUCAAGUUCAGACAGACCACGCAGGGCUCUGGGUUGGAAGUAAAUUAGAUCAUGCUAACAAAAAUUAAGGCUGAGAAUAGGCAGAAUAACAAAACUUCCUCAUCCCACCCAGGAACGGUGGCUCACAAACCCGUGUGAGGUGCAGACUCCAGUUUCAUCUCUCUCACCCACCAGAUGGCAUCAGUAGGGCAGCGCCCGGGGAUCUGCAGUUUCACAAGCACCCCCACCCCCACCGCCCCAAGUGCUGUGGUAGAGGCUGCAGCAGGGGAGCCUCCGACCACCCUGAAAAACACGUUCCAGGAGAGUGGUUCUCAAAGUUCGGCCCCCAGACAAGCAGCAUCAGCAGCUCCUAGAAGCAUGUUGGAAAUGUUUUACUUCCUGGUCUCACCCCGGACCUACUGAAUCAGAAACCCUGAGGCAAGACCCGGUGACCUGUGAUACCAAAUGAGUCUUCUAGGUGGUUCUGAUGUGUGUGUUGUGAGGCAAUGGCCUAAGAAAAGGCAGAAUUUCAAUCAAAGGAAGGAGAGAGUUACUCCAGCCCUGCUUGCGUCCAUUCCGCCAAUUUCCACCCAAGCUCCUGCUGAGGGGAUGUGAGUAUUGGCACUGAGGGGAAGAGGGAAGCGAAGGGCCCAGAGACCAGAAAAGGAAGGUAGGGACCAUGGCUUCUUCUUUCUUUAUUGGACACUUGGUAGAUGUCACGCAGGUCUAAAAGUUACACUGUUAAAUAAUUAUUUAAAAACCGACCAGGACUAAAGCCCUGGUCCACAGCUCCAAACCAGAAGCGGAAAGGAAUGGGGGCGGUGGGCUGGGGGGUAUUCCUCCAACAUCACCAAAACCCAGAAAACGAGGACCCUAAGCUCUUUCACAGGCCAACCCAGGAUGUGGGCCCUUGGGCUAACCCUCAGGUGCCUCUGGCUGCAUCACCAUCAGGUCAGUAACCAGCAAGGAGCUGGCAGAACAGCCAGCCGAGUCCAGACAUGGACAAAAGUAACUGCAAGGACAGGAAACGGACAGGUACUGUCCAGCUGUAGAUAAGAUCACAGAGUGCAGCUAAGGCAGGUGGGGACAGGGGAGGGGCUGGGGAGCGGUAUUGCAGCAAUGCAGGAGUGUGGCCCCAGAGGCCCAGCCCAGCCCGGGCAGGGGCUCACACAUUGUGGGUCCUCCUGGUGAGCUGGGGCUCCUCGCCCACCAGCUUGGACUUGAGGUGCUCCUUGUAGGCCAGGAUGUCUCCAGGCCACUUGGUGAUUGUCUGCUUCUCACAGACCCAGAUUUCCUGUGCAACCUAGAAAGGAAAUCUGAGGCUCAAUCCUCCUGGCCAGCACUCUCCCCAUCCCUGCCCAGAAGACCACUGUCAGAAGAAUUCCAGGAAGAAACCUCCACCGCCCAGUUCCGUAUGCGGCUCACAGUUCCACUGUCUCUCUGUUCUCUGGAUGCCUAACCCAGGGGUACCGUAACCAGCAGGUUUGGAGCCUUCCAAGCCACAACCUGCUCUGUCUCCUGAUUUCCAGCUCCCCGGCAGGGCCUAGAACUGUUUAGAGGCCUCGCCCGCAGCUUCCUGUUCUCUAUCCCAUCUUUCCCAAAGCUUCAGAGAAAUGACCAGCGGCCUUUCCACCAAUGACUGGUGGUAGCCCUCUAGUCCAAAUCCUCCUUAGUAUAAUACUACUUCUAUGCUGAAGAAUCUUGAGACAGUAGUAAAAGCACCCUAUCCUCUACCCAACUCCCUCGCCAAUUCUGGCUAACAUUGCCAAAUGCCAAGUAGGCUGAUGUCUCCAAAUAGCUACUGAAAAAAUGAAAGUUUUCCAUUAAGGCUUUCUCAGUUUUUCAAAGAGCCAUAAUAUCUGGUCCUCAUCACCCUGUCUACACCCUGAGCCCUUUUCCCAAAUCCAAUAAACACAUAUUAAGUGCCCUCCACA